CCGAAAGGCAGGAGUGCCUGCAAGGGAGCGCGGAGACAGGUGGUGCAUGGCUGUCGUCAGCUCGUGUCGUGAGAUGUUGGGUUAAAUCCCGCAACGAGCGCAACCCUCACCUCUUGUUGCCAUCAGGUCAUGCUGGGCACUCUAGAGGAACUGCCCCGGUCAACGGGGAGGAAGGCGGGGAUGACGUCAAGUCAUCAUGCCCCUUACGUCCUGGGCUACACACGUGCUACAAUGGCCGGUACAAAGGGAUGCCACACCGCGAGGUAGAGCUAAACCCAAAAAGCCGGUCUAAGUUCGGAUUGGAGUCUGCAACUCGACUCCAUGAAGGAGGAAUCGCUAGUAAUCGCGUAUCAGCACGACGCGGUGAAUACGUUCCCGGGCCUUGUACACACCGCCCGUCACACCACGAAAGCCAG
rnacentral:rRNA from 1 species